CCUGGCUGUGUGAGUCCUGGAGACAGACCUAUUUUGUUGGAUCCUUGUAGAAGGUGGUAAAGAAUAAAAGAAGGAAAACUCCAGCGGGAGAAUGAGCAGGGAAGACUUUUCAUUUUGGUAUCACAUCAGGCUAUGGUCUCAAGAAAUUGCAAAGUGAAGCCAGCUGGAGUCUGCCUGAAGAUGAAGGCAGGAGGCCACCAAGCUGAAGAGGAGUAGGAGGUAAGAAGAAGUCACUGGAUCCCUC